CUUUCUCAAGUAUAUAAGUUGCUUCUUUUACCACUCAUGAGUCAGUGAAUUUCACACAGUUUCACUAUGAAGUGGAUUUUGUUUUUGUCAGCCAUCGCCUUGACGUCAGCAAGGGUGCUUCAACCCAACUCUGAGUUAUUUCGCAAGUUGCACACGUUGAUGACUGUGGACGAGUUGGGUCGAAUAUUUGGGGUUGUCAAUUCAUCGCAAGUUGACGAAUAUGAAGUAAUCUACAUUCGCCGUCACCGAGUGUCCGCCCCUACACGUCCUUUCCCGAACGGCGAUAAUCGUAACACGAAGAGAAGCAGUCCACAAGACAGCCAUGCUCAUUAUUCUUUCUCUGCCAAUGGAAAAACAUAUAACCUAAAGAUGCGACCUAACACGUUUCUUAUGGCGCCAAAUAUGAAGACGGUCGUACGAAGUGGUGGAUUACUGGGCGAGGAAAUUGUGAAAGAACAUCCCAGAGGCACCGAAUGUCAUUUUCUCCACACUGAUGGUGAAGUAGUCGCCGCUCUCAGUCACUGCACCGACGACGACAUUGAUGGUUACUUAAUCGAUGAAGGAAAAUCCUUGGAAAUCAGACCAGUACCUUCGAGAUUUCGUCAGAUGCUCAGCCUUCCUCCUGAUAACGAGGACGAAACUAUUAUCAUUGGGGCUCACAUCGUUCGGCCAAUUGAUCCACUACCCCAUUUUCAAGCCCAUCAAGCAAGCUGUGAAGUCGAACUACCAAUUCGGAUGAGGGCCAAGAACGUAACUCGGGAACCAGUGAUGAAAACUAAAACAUUUGAAAAGCGUAAAAGUAAUAAAAUUCCUACCGGGAAACAAAAUCAACACACACGAAAAAAUGCUCUGGAAAAAUCGAUUACUGAAAAAUCUGCACCCAACAAAGUGAUUGAACUGGGAAUCUUUGUGGAUUCAGCAGCUUUGGCUUUGUUUAUGCCAUAUUUUGGGACACAAGAGUAUGUUAAGCUUCGUGAGUUGGUUCUUGCCUUUGUCAAUGCGAUGCAAGCGCUUUACCACCUUCCUAGUCUGGGUCAGCGAGUCGACUUGUCGAUAGUUUACAUGGAAUUCCAUGCAAAGCCACCAGCCACGCUACACACUGGCGGUGAACGUGGCAAAAUGCUUGAUUCAUUCUGUGCUUUUCAAACAAAACUGAACAAGCCUUCAGACAAUGAUGCAGAGCAUUGGGAUAUGGCACUUUUACUGUCUGGGCUGGAUUUUUUUGCUGUCGAGAAAGGAAAAAACAAUUAUGCAACAAUGGGUCUAUCCACUGUCACUGGUGUUUGCACUGGUAUUUACAACUGUGUUAUUGGAGAGCUUGGUGUAACAAACCAACAAGGUCAAACAUAUCCUUCCACUGGUUUUAACUCAGUCUACGUAAUGGCUCAUGAAAUUGGCCACAAUUUGGGGAUGUCCCAUGAUAGUUCUGGAAACGUAUGCGCCAGGGAUGGUUUUAUCAUGAGUCCCUCUCGUGGCGUCGUAGGUGAAACCACAUGGUCAACUUGCAGCGCUAAAACUUUGGCUGCCAUUACAGAAACUUGCAUGAACGAUGUUCCUACGGGCAAAUUUCCCGAUUAUAACCACAACAAAUAUGGAAACAAGCCUGGCCAGCUGUGGUCAGCAGACGAACAAUGUCGAAUUCUGCUACGGGAUAAGGCUGCUGUUGCUUACUUUGCCUCUAACGCCGACCUUGCCGAAUCUUGCAAUUCGAUGAAAUGUAAAACGCCAAAUCGUGAUGGCUAUUACAUUUCUGGCCCAGCUCUUCCCGGAACAAUCUGUGGAAGCUCAAUGUGGUGUAACGGAGGCGAAUGCGUCUCAGUCGGCCGUGCAUUAAUUGCGAAAUCGGUUCAAGGGGGCUGGUCUGAUUGGACACAUAAACCUUGUCAGUCUGGCUGUCUUGAGAAAUCUAAAGGAGCGGUGGCAAGUGAGAGGGAGUGUACCGAUCCAACGCCCAGCGAUGUUUUACAUCGUUGCGAAGGUGCCAGUGUCAAAGCAUCAAUCUGCGAUGACACCCAAGUUUGCGAUGGAAAAUCUCGUUUGCCGUCUGUUGAAUUCGCCAAGCAGCAGUGUGCCAAAUUUAGUCAACAGAUGCCUUUCAUCGAUGGAAAAGGAGUGGGCAUACAAGCAGCAUAUUCUGAAAGACGGCCUUGGCAAUCGUGUGCCAUAUUUUGCAAGCGGAACGAUCGAGAGGGUUUUUACACGCCACGUUUUGAAUUGAAUAGUUUACCAAAAGUUUCUGCUCAUUUUCCCGACGGUACUUGGUGCGGAAAUGACGGAAAGAUGGACCUUUACUGCCUACAACGAUCCUGCGUCUCGACUAAGGUGGCCGAAGGGCUAGUUCGCAGCGAAGGAAAAAACACAGAUUUAAAUUUUGCGAACAACGCUCAGAUGACGGGCAAAAUCCAUCACAAAAUUCCUACAUCUCUCGAGGAUUACUUUAUGCUGGACAACGAUGGGAAUCCUCUGAAAGAAGAAAUUGAUGCUGAGACACUAAAAGUUGCUGAAGAGACUCUAAAGAGCCAUUUCGGUUACGAAGACAUUGAUUUCAUCACUUUGAAGCCACCUCAAUAAUAUAAAAAAAACGAAGCUAGAAAGACAUAACGGUGGAUGGAUCUCUCAAUCGUGUAAACCCGGGGACUACGUUGACGACCAGAGAUGAAGGUCUUCGUCUCCCUUUUUCUCUGGUGACAACAAUAUCACUACAAUAGUGACACGGUGAGCAAAAUCACCUAUGCCAAUGCAGGUGGUAGAAGACCUUCCCCACCAUCAAUCGAAUUCAACGAGCAACCACUGCACUAAACUUAGUCAACACACGUGCAAGUGCGGCACGUGUUCGGAUGGUUCGCAAUUCACCAAGUUCAAGUUUACAUGUCUAGAAUUGGUCAUGUGAUGUUUCCCUAACGAUCAGUAAGCAAUUCAGCCAUGCAAACAUCCGAUUGACCAACGAAUAUUGUUUACAUCCGUCAUACAAUAACAAGUUCGGGACUGAACGUUUGUCAUCUUUCGUUUCAUCCAUCAACAAAAUGGCUCUGGCAAAUAAGGGACAUUCCCUUCUUAUAACAGACUUUCAUUCUUAUCCGCGUGACGUAAAAUACGCAGUACUCUUAACUGGUCUUACACAUUCAGGAACGAAUUAAUGAUUCCCCGUCCUGCAAUGGCUUACAAUUAAUCAUUGGUAGACAAACAUGGACGACGCAGGUAUAAAUAAUAUCGAUCAUGCAAACCACAUGAAGCCGAUUUUAGAAGUGGAGUGUAUUGUCUGAAUUCGUGUACUUACUUUUCAUUUUUCUUUUUUCUGUGAAAAAUUUUAGAUCUGAUCGAUAUUAAGCUGAUUCGGAGAGAACGCCAUGGAACGAACCCUCGUAUAGUAGCAGCAGUAAAUAAUAGGUGAUCGUGGCUCUCUUUUUUUUUGUUGCAAAUAAGUCUAGUUGACAUUUAUAUGCGUCCGCGUUGUUGACUCACGCAAGGUCGUCACGACUGUAGCACGUAUCAGAAUAACGUCACUUUGUGAAAAUAGCCAUAGUGUUCAUUCUGCAUGCCACCUUGCCAGUUGUCCCCAUAUAAUAAUGAAAAAUAAAGAGGAAGAACGGGAAUGAACGAUGUAUAACGGUAGGUGUGUGAACCCCAGCUGGGCAAAGUGUAGCGCGAGAGGUUUUUAUAAGAGCAAUCAACUCACGUUCGCCCCUUUCUAAUAUUUGUACCUUAAUUUGCCUUACAAAUGACGAUCCAUUUUCUCUGGCGUCCUUCAUCAACAUUGGAGCCCAUCACGGUGUAGCCUACUUGACGAACAAAAGAAAGAAAAUAAAAAAGUUUGCUGGAUCGAUGUGUUGUUGUUGCUGCAAAGGUGAUGGCGCCGGGGCGAUGUCAUAGACGUCGUGAAACGACGACGGGCACGGCGACAACUUGCUGCCCAGCCACGUCUCCUUCGCACAGUGCGUCCAUUUUUGGAAUGGCUUUGCCACUUUUAUGGAGACUGUCGUAAAAUGUAAGAUUAGUACACUCAAAUUUAGAGGUAUAUUUCAAGCAUUCGGUUUAUUCACGAAAUUAUCCAAACCUCUAUGCAGCCACCUAAAAAAGUUUUGAAUGGAUUCGUGCCCACUGUUCUGUAAGUUUUCCACGUACCUGUAAUUACGAUAAUUUAAAGCCAGGAGCGCAGAGAGACGAUAGGGGCUCUAUAGUAAUCAAGGCGAUUGCGUGUUGCAUCAACGCGGGAGUUUGCUGAAUCGAGCAGAAAAUGCUUAGAUGUGUACCUCGCAGCUUUUUUUUUGGGAUCCUGAGGCAGGAUUCAAGGAUGAUCGAUCACGCGAUAUUCCCAUAAUUGCCUCCCCGUUUUUGCAUUUUCUCAACGGGAUUUGCAAAGACGGAAAAGGGAGGCGGUAGGAGAUGGGAUGAAGGUGGCAUUUAAAAGACGACAUCUCCGAUUUCCAUCGCGCUCUCGUUGCAGACUUUGGCGUACUUUGUUUUUAUAACUAGUUGAAUUUCUGUUUGUUUCACAAGUCGCUUUGGCUAGUAAUGGUGGCUUCGCAUGACUCUCAGUUGAAUGUCCAUCUUUGCGGAACAAGAAGAAGCCAAAGGGGACGCAGAAGAAGAAGUCUAUCGAUACGCUCGAGGUCAUUUUAUACCCUACAGAAACUAUUGUUUUGUUUACGCUGCACGACGACUGAUGACGUUCGUCAAAGUCCGUAAGGCAAACCCAACACGUGACAUCUGAUACUAAACAAACGAACGAUUGUUUCUUUUGUUUGUUUUUUUUUCAGACGGAAAUAGUUCAAAGUAAAGAAGAAGAAGAAGAAGAAGAAAAAAAAACGUACAAAGUAUACGAGGUUCACGGUCUGGACUAACCCGCGGACUUUGUCGUGCGUGAUACUUUGUUUUUAACUUUUCUGGGAGAAAAAACUAAACAAAAAGCAAAAUAAUAAAAGUAGUGACUUUAGUUAUACGGUUAUUGUUGAAACAACGUCUACGUUUGCCUCCAGUUGGUAAGUCGAACAACUGGAUUGUUUCUUUUUAGGUGGUAAAUAGUGGGCUAUUUCCGUGAGUUGCGUAAAACGGGUGGGGGGGAGACCAGCUGUUACGACAUCAACUGCUUGAUUGUAUUGGCCCAUAAAAAAGUGCGUUACAGAAUGGAUAGGAAAGAAGAAGAAGAAGAACAGCAGGAGAAAAGAUAAGGAAAAAAAAAAAUGAAGAACGUCAAGAAGAAUCCCCGGAGCAAUAUCGACGAUGAUGGA